rnacentral:rRNA from 1 species
GACGAACGCUGGCGGCGUGCUUAACACAUGCAAGUCGAACGGAAAGGCCUCUUUCGGGGGGUACUCGAGUGGCGAACGGGUGAGUAACACGUGAGUAACCUGCCCUUGACUUUGGGAUAACUUCAGGAAACUGGGGCUAAUACCGGAUAGGAGCUCCUGCUGCAUGGUGGGGGUUGGAAAGUUUCGGCGGUUGGGGAUGGACUCGCGGCUUAUCAGCUUGUUGGUGGGGUAGUGGCUUACCAAGGCUUUGACGGGUAGCCGGCCUGAGAGGGUGACCGGCAAAAUUGGGACGGAGAUACGGCCCAGACCCCUACGGGAGGCAGCGGGGGGAAAUAUUGCACAAUGGUGGAAGCCUGAUGCAGCAACGCCGGGGGCAGGAUGACGGCCUUCGGGUUGUAAACCGCUUUCGCUCAUGACGAAGCUUUGUGUGACGGUAGUGGGUAAAGAAGCACCGGCUAACUACGUG